rnacentral:rRNA from 1 species
AACGAACGCUGGCGGCAGGCUUAACACAUGCAAGUCGAGCGCCCCGCAAGGGGAGCGGCAGACGGGUGAGUAACGCGUGGGAAUCUACCCAUCCCUACGGAAUAGCUCCGGGAAACUGGAAUUAAUACCGUAUACGCACUACGGGGGAAAGAUUAUCGGGGAUGGAUGAGCCCGCGUUGGAUUAGCUAGUUGGUGGGGUAAAGGCCUACCAAGGCGACGAUCCAUAGCUGGUCUGAGAGGAUGAUCAGCCACAUUGGGACUGAGACACGGCCCAAACUCCUACGGGAGGCAGCAGUGGGGAAUAUUGGACAAUGGGGGCAACCCUGAUCCAGCCAUGCCGCGUGAGUGAUGAAGGCCUUAGGGUUGUAAAGCUCUUUCACCGAUGAAGAUAAUGACGGUAGUCGGAGAAGAAGCCCCGGCUAACUUCGUGCCAGCCGCCGCCGUAAAAC